rnacentral:rRNA from 1 species
GACGAACGCUGGCGGCGUGCUUAACACAUGCAAGUCGAACGGAAAGUAGCUGAUUUUGUGGUGUGCUCGAGUGGCGAACGGGUGAGUAACACGUGAGUAACCUGCCCUUGACUUUGGGCUAAUUUCAGGAAACUGGGGCUAAUACCGGAUAGGAGCUCCUGCUGCAUAGCGGGGGAUGGAAAGUUUCGGCGGUUGGGGAUGGACUGGCGGUUUAUCAGCUCGUUGGUGGGGUAGUGGCUUACCAAAGCUUGGCCGGGCAGCCGGCCUGAGAGGGUGACCGGCCAGAUUGGGACGGAGAUACGGCACAGACUACUACGGGAGGCGGCGGUGGAGAAGAGUGCACAAUGGGCGGAAGCCUGAUGCAACAACGCCGCGUGCGGGAUGACGGCCUGCGAGUUGUAAACCGCUUUCGCCUGUGACGAAGCGUGAGUGACGGUAAUGGGUAAAGAAGCACCGGCUAACUACGUG